rnacentral:rRNA from 1 species
GUUUGAUCCUGGCUCAGAGCGAACGCUGGCGGCGUGCUUAACACAUGCAAGUCGGGCGGGAAAGGGAGCUUCGGCUCCUGAGUAGAGCGGCGAACGGGUGCGUAAGACGCGGGUGACCUAUCCUGGAGGCGGGGAUAACCCUUCGAAAGAGGGGCUAAUACCGGAUGAGCCCACAGGCAGAGAUGCUAGGGGGCAAAGGGUGCAGCUUAGUAGGUGCAUGUCUUCUGGGAGGGGCCCACGGCCUAUCAGCUAGUUGGUACGGUAACGGCGUACCAAGGCGAAGACGGGUAGCUGGUCUGAGAGGAUGGCCAGCCACACGGGGACUGAGACACGGCCCCGACUCCUACGGGAGGCAGCAGUGGGGAAUAUUGGGCAAUGGGCGCAAGCCUGACCCAGCGACGCCGCGUGGGUGAUGAAGGCCUUCGGGUCGUAAAGCCCUGUCGGGUGGAAAGAAUGGCGGAGGGGCAAAUAGCCCUUUCACGUGACGGUACCACCGAAGGAAGCACCGGCCAAUUCCGUGCCAGCAGCCGCGGUAA